GGGUGCUUAGGGCUUUCGGUCCUGAGCAAAGUAAUAUCAGUGAGGGAAUAAAAGAAAGCCCCGGGCAACUUUCGUUAACCCGAGGCUACCCCUCAACCCAGCAAGUUGAGGUUAGCCUCUUACCCGCUGCAAAGCAAGGAGUAAAAGGCAUG
rfam:Cedecea davisae DSM 4568 genomic scaffold Scaffold0, whole genome shotgun sequence.